rnacentral:rRNA from 1 species
GCGCGAAACUUUACAAUGCUGGCAACAGCGAUAAGGGGACCUCGAGUGCCAGGAUACAAUCCUGGCUGUCGUAAUGCCUAAAAAGCAUUGCAUAGCAAGGGCCGGGCAAGACCGGUGCCAGCCGCCGCGGUAACACCGGCGGCUCGAGUGGUAACCGCUAUUAUUGGGUCUAAAGGGUCUGUAGCCGGCUGGAUAAGUCUCUUGGGAAAUCCGGCAGCUUAACUGUCGGGCUUUCAGGGGAUACUGUCCGGCUCGAGACCGGGAGAGGUGAGAGGUACUUCAGGGGUAGGGGUGAAAUCUUGUAAUCCUUGAAGGACCACCAGUGGCGAAGGCGUCUCACCAGAACGGAUCUGACGGCAAGGGACGAAAGCUAGGGGCACGAACCGGAUUAGAUACCCGGGUAGUCCCAGCUGUAAACGAUGCAGACUAGGUGUUUGGACGGCCACGUGCCGUUCUAGUGCCGCAGGGAAACUGUUAAGUCUGCCGCCUGGGGAGUACGAUCGCAAGAUUGAAACUUAAGGAAUUGGCGGGGG